GGGGUGUAGCUCAGCUGGCCAGAGCACAGGUCUCCAAAACCUGGUGUCGGGGGUUCAAGUCCCUCCACCGCCACCA
rnacentral:tRNA from 1 species